CCUACGGGAGGCAGCAGUGAGGAAUAUUGGACAAUGGGCGCAAGCCUGAUCCAGCCAUGCCGCGUGCAGGAUGACGGUCCUAUGGAUUGUAAACUGCUUUUGUACAGGAAGAAACAGUUCUACGUGUAGAACCUUGACGGUACUGUAAGAAUAAGGAUCGGCUAACCCCGUGCCAGCAGCCGCGGUAAUACGGAGGAUCCAAGCGUUAUCCGGAAUCAUUGGGUUUAAAGGGUCCGUAGGCGGUUUAGUAAGUCAGUGGUGAAAGCCCAUCGCUCAACGGUGGAACGGCCAUUGAUACUGCUAAACUUGAAUUAUUAGGAAGUAACUAGAAUAUGUAGUGUAGCGGUGAAAUGCUUAGAGAUUACAUGGAAUACCAAUUGCGAAGGCAGGUUACUACUAAUUGAUUGACGCUGAUGGACGAAAGCGUGGGUAGCGAACAGGAUUAGAUACCCUGGUAGUCCACGCCGUAAACGAUGGAUACUAGCUGUUGGAAGCAAUUUCAGUGGCUAAGCGAAAGUGAUAAGUAUCCCACCUGGGGAGUACGUUCGCAAGAAUGAAACUUAAAGGAAUUGACGG
rnacentral:rRNA from 1 species